rnacentral:lncRNA from 1 species
AAGCACCCGCACCGGCUCCGGCCACCUUGUCUUGGGCCACCUUCCGGUGAACUCUGGUUGCCCACAUCGGGCCAGCUUGCAGUGACCGCAGCCAGUGGAGUCGUAGUCGUAGCUACGGCCGCCGUCGACGACCAGCUCCUCCAGAAGCUGGGUGUUCCGCGCAAAGUAGUUGAUGAGCCGGUUCUGCAAGCAGGUGAGCUCCAGCUGCCCGUCGAACCGCAGGACCACCCUCCUCAGCGAACGCCGGAGGCACUCGGGAGCAUCACCGCAUGCAAGAAAAC